rnacentral:pre_miRNA from 1 species
UUUGUACUCUCUCCGUCCCAAAAUUCUUGUCUUAAAUUUGUCUAAAUACGGAUGUAUCUAGUUACAUUUUAGUGUUAGAUACAUCCGUAUCUAAACAAAUGUAAGACAAGAAUUUUGGGACGAAGGGAAUACUAC